CUACGGAGGGUGCAAGCGUUAAUCGGAAUUACUGGGCGUAAAGCGUACGUAGGCGGUUCGUUAAGUUAGAUGUGAAAGCCCCGGGCUUAACCUGGGAACUGCAUUUAAAACUGGCGAACUAGAGUUGAGUAGAGGGGAGUGGAGUUUCAGGUGUAGCGGUGAAAUGCGUAGAGAUCUGAAGGAACACCAGUGGCGAAGGCGACUCCCUGGACUCAAACUGACGCUGAGGUACGAAAGCGUGGGUAGCAAACGGGAUUAGAAACCCUAGUAGUCC
rnacentral:rRNA from 1 species